UUCGCUUUUCCGACCGUGAGGAGAGCGGUUGGAGGUUCGAGCCGAGCGUAGCGAGACAACGUUGCUUCAGCAACGGCCCGCAGGGAGAGGCGCAGCCGAAUCAUCCUCCUGGAUGCACCA
rnacentral:sRNA from 1 species